rnacentral:rRNA from 1 species
AACGAACGCUGGCGGCAGGCUUAACACAUGCAAGUCGAACGCGUGCAGCAAUGCACGAGUGGCGCACGGGUGAGUAACGAGUGGAUAUCUGCCUUUUGGUUCGGAAUAACCCCGGGAAACUGGGGCUAAUACCGGAUGGUUCCUACGGGAUAAAGAUUUAUCGCCAAAAGAUGAGUCCGCGUCCGAUUAGCUAGUUGGUGAGGUAAUGGCUCACCAAGGCGACGAUCGGUAGCUGGUCUGAGAGGACGAUCAGCCACACUGGGACUGAGACACGGCCCAGACUCCUACGGGAGGCAGCAGUGGGGAAUAUUGGACAAUGGGCGCAACCCUGAUCCAGCCAUGCCGCGUGAGUGAUGAAGGCCUUCGGGUUGUAAAGCUCUUUUGGCGGGGACGAUGAUGACGGUACCCGCAGAAUAAGCCCCGGCUAACUUCGUG